rnacentral:rRNA from 1 species
GAUGAACGCUGGCGGCGUGCCUAAUACAUGCAGGUCGAGCGAACAGACGAGGAGCUUGCUCCUCUGACGUUAGCGGCGGACGGGUGAGUAACACGUGGAUAACCUACCUAUAAGACUGGGAUAACUUCGGGAAACCGGAGCUCAUACCGGAUAAUAUAUUGAACCGCAUGGUUCAAUAGUGAAAGACGGUUUUGCUGUCACUUAUAGAUGGAUCCGCGCCGCAUUAGCUAGUUGGUAAGGUAACGGCUUACCAAGGCAACGAUGCGUAGCCGACCUGAGAGGGUGAUCGGCCACACUGGAACUGAGACACGGUCCAGACUCCUACGGGAGGCAGCAGUAGGGAAUCUUCCGCAAUGGGCGAAAGCCUGACGGAGCAACGCCGCGUGAGUGAUGAAGGUCUUCGGAUCGUAAAACUCUGUUAUUAGGGAAGAACAAAUGUGUAAGUAACUAUGCACGUCUUGACGGUACCUAAUCAGAAAGCCACGGCUAACUACGUG